rnacentral:piRNA from 1 species
UUACAAACUCGUUGUCCUUCACGGACCCU